AAACUCCUCACUCCGUACUAAGCAAUACUAUCCCUCUAUAGAAAAUUUUAUGUUAAAAUUAGUAACAAGAAGACAGACCUUCUCUUAAAUGUAAACGUAAAUCAUAAGGACAAACCACUGAUAUUUAACGCUCAAGAACCAGAAGUAAUAACCAACCAAGAAAACUUUACUUUAAUUAACGUUAACCUAACACAAGAGCAUUUCAAGAAAGAUUAAAAGAAAAAGAAGGAACUCGGCAAACUUUAACCUCGCCUGUUUACCAAAAACAUCACCUCUUGAUAAUAAUGAGAGGCCCAGCCUGCCCAGUGACCCAGUUCAACGGCCGCGGUAUCCUAACCGUGCGAAGGUAGCGUAAUCACUUGUUCUUUAAAUAAGGACUAGUAUGAACGGCAUCACGAGGGUUAUGCUGUCUCCUUUUUCCAAACAGUGAAACUAAUUUCCCCGUGAAGAAGCAGGGAUAAAAUUAUAAGACGAGAAGACCCUAUGGAGCUUCAAACAACACAACAAAUGCCAAACAACUUAAAAAUUUCAUAACUCCAAAUUUACUCAGCAUUAUGAUUGUUAGUUUUAGGUUGGGGUGACCGCGGAGCAAAACACAACCUCCACAUUGAAAGAAUUUUAUUCUAAGCCAAGAACCACAACUCAAAGCAUCUAUAUAUUGACAUUAAUUGACCCAAUAAACUUGAACAACGAACCAAGUUACCCUAGGGAUAACAGCGCAAUCUACUUCAAGAGCCCCUAUCGACAAGUAGGUUUACGACCUCGAUGUUGGAUCAGGGUCUCCAAGUGGUGCAGCCGCUACUAAAGGUUCGUUUGUUCAACGAUUAAUACCCUA
rnacentral:rRNA from 1 species